AGGAGACUGUUUAGGCCAUGCCUGGCAUCAGUAACUCAGGCUGUUUCCCACACUACAGGCCAGCACUGUGGGCUCUCAGUUUAUUGGGAAAUGGAAAUAAGAGGGAAGGACAAAAGUCCACUGGGAAGCAGACUGGACAGAAAGGAACUCUGAGCAGCUAAACUCUGACUAAUCCCAGGGUAUACCUGCGUUUUCUCUUCACCAGGUUAGACUUUUAAUUACUGAUUUGGUAAAUUUGGAUUCCUUUUUCAACAACUCAUGUAAAAAUGUUAUGUUUAUGUUUGGGGAGGCUGGGUGCGGUGGUUCAUGCCUGUAAUCUCAGCACUUUGGGAGGCCGAGACGGGUGGAUUGUUUGAGGUCAGGAGUUCAAGACCACCCUGGCCAACAUGGCGAAACACUGUCUCUACUAAAAAUACAAAAAUUAGCCAGCUGUGGUGGCACACGCUUGUAAUUCCAGCUACUCAGGAGGCUGAGGCAGGAGAAUCUGUUGGACCGGGGAGGCGUAGGUUGCAGUGAGCAUAGAUCCUGCCACUGUACUCCAGCCUGGGCAACAGAGCAAGACUGUAAAAAAAAAAAAAAAAAAAAAAGUUAUAUUUAUGUUUGGGGAAAGCAGGUGCAGAAUUAUUUAGAUUGCAACCAUAAAAAGUUCCCUGGGUGGUUUUGCUGCCAAAUCAGCUUAACCUGGGGAAUUCACUUCAGGUAACCUCCUCCUCCUUUCCUGUGGUCAUCCAAAAGGCAGGGAUGGCUAGUAUAAUUAUCCACAUCACAGGGAUGCUUAGAGGCUUAAUUAAUGUUCAUAACCCACUUUGAAGUAUUCAGAUGAAGAGACAGUUGACAGAAAUGGUGGUGUUCUAAGUUCUACUUACAAACUCUGGCAAGUUACAAAGCAAAUUUUGAAGUUGUUUUUUGGUACUCUACUUCCAAAUAUACUGGCAUGGCAACUCCAAGAUCCUCCCUCAUUUAGUUAGAAUCACUGCCACCCAGACAAUUUAGAGGACUCUAUUUCUACAUUUUAUUCACUUUAAUUUUUUAAAAUUUUAAAAUUUUUUAUUUUUUAUUUUUUUUGAGAUGGAGUCUUGCUCUGUGGCCCACGCUGGAGUGCAGUAGUGCAAUCUCGGCUUACUACAACCUCUGCCUCCCAGGUUCAAGUGAUUCUCCCACCUCAGCUUCCCGAGUAGCCAAGAUUACAGGCAUGCGCCACCAUGCCUGGCUAAUUUUUUUGUAUUUUUAGUAGAGAUGGGGUUUCGCCAUGUUGCCCAGGCUAGUCUCGAACUCCUGACCUCAGGAGAUUCGCCCACCUUGGCCUCCCAAAGUACUGGGAUUAUAGGCGUAAACCACUGUGCCCAGCCAUUUUGUUCAUUUUUAAAAGGAAAGUAUAAAUAUGAGGUGAUUUAUAACAAGUGGCAUUUGGAGGAAUGACACUAAACAAGUUGGUAUGUUGCUAUUGUCAGCAAAUAGAGAACUUUUAGCCCACAACUAAGAUGCAAAACAACUUUCAAGAUAGGGAAAAAAUGUGCCAAACUCUGAUCAAAUGUAAGCCUUAAGCCAAACACUAUGAAUACCAUUAGAAACUUUUUUUUUUCUUUAGAGACAGGGUCUCGCUUUGUUGCCCAGGCUGGAGUACAGUGGUGUGAUCAUAGCUCACUCCAGGCUUGAAUUCCUGGGCUCAGGCGAUCCUCUCACCUCAGCCUCCCAAGUAGUUAGGACUAUAGGCACAUGACUUUUAAAAAUAUUUUGGACAGAUGAGGUCUUGCUGUGUUGCCCAGGCUGGUCUCAAACCCCUGGCCUUAAGUGGUCCUCCUGCCUCAGCCUUCCAAAGCACUGGGAUUACAAGUAUGAAUCACAAUGUCUGUACUGGAAACCUUUCUAAAAUAAAUCCAUCCUGCUUCAUAAUGUGGAGAUGGCUUAGGAUACUAUCUUUUCCAUUCUUGAGAGGGAGAAACCCUGAAAUAUUGUCAAUAAAAACCGAUCUGGGAGAUGGCACUAAGACUCUGUCAAGGGUGUAGUCUCCCUUUAUGUAGUAAUCAAUGCAUUAGGUUUUGCUUGAUUAAAAAAAAAUCAAGUCUGUGAGCAAACAAAAAUGUGGUGGGCUGAAUAAUGAAAAUGAAAAUGAUGGGCCGGGCAUGGUGGCUCACGCCCGUAAUCCCAGCACUUUGGGAAGCCAAGGCAGGGGAAUCACCUGAGGCCAGGAGUUCGAGACCAGCCUGGCCAACAUGAUGAAUCCCCGUCUCUACUAAAAAUACAAAAAUUAGCCAGGCAUGGUGGCAUGCGCCUCUAGUUCCAGCUACUUAGGAGGCUGAGGCAGGAGAAUCGCUGAACCGGGAAGGCAGAGAUUGCAGUGAGCUGAGAUGGCGCCACUGCACUCCAGCUUGGGCAACAGAACGAGACUUCAUAAAAAAAAAAAAAAAAAGAUGAUGCUAAUGGUGAAAAUACUAAUAGCCAUCAUUGAGGGCUUACUAGGUGCUAGACACUGUUCUAAGAGCUUUAUAUGUCUUGACUCAUCUGAUCCCACCAAUAACCCUGGAAGAUAGAACCUACUAUUAUCCUUAUUUUGUGGACAAAGAAACUGAGACGUAGAGAAGUUCAGUAACGCUAACUUGCUUAUGGUUAUACAGCUUACCAGCUAGCAGUGGUUUUCAAAACACUAUUGUGCAUUACACUUCUCCAGAAAGCUAGUUAAAAUUCAUAUCUUAGCUCAAGACCAGACCUUCUGAUUAGAAGUGUGAGAUGGGGUCUAGAAAAGUGCAUUUUGGCUGGGCACGGUGGCUUACGCCUGUAAUCCCAGCACUUUGGGAGGCCAAAGCAGGCAGAUCACGAGGUCAGGAGAUUGAGACCAUCCUGACCAACACGGUGAAACCCCAUCUCUACAAAAAUACAAAAAUUAGCUGGGUGUGGUGGCACAUGCCUGUAGUCCCAGCUACUCAGGAGGCUGAGGCAGGAGAAUCCCUUGAACCAGGGAGUUGGAGGUUGCAGUGACCCAAGAUCGUGCCACUGCACUCCAGCCUGGUGACACAGCGAGACUCUGUCUCAAAAAAAAAAAAAAAGAAAAAGAAAAAUGCAUGCAUUUUUAAUAAAUCCCUGGCAGCCUGGUCAACAUAGGGAAACUCUGUCUCUACAAAAAGUUAAAAAAUUAGCUGAGCAUGGUGGCACAUGCCUGUAGUCUCAGCUACUCAGGAGGCUGAGGCAGGAGGGUCACUUGAGCCUGGGAGACUGAGGCUGCAGUGAGCUGUGAUCAUGCUAUUGCACUCCAGCCUGGGAGACAGAGUGAGAUCCUGUCUCCAAAAAUAAAAAAUAAAAAUAAAUCCCUGGGAUCAGGUGUGGUGGCUCACACCUAUAAUCCCAGAACUUUGGGAGGCUCAGGUAGGAGGAUCACUUGAGGCCAGGAAUUUGAGACCAGCCUGGGCAAAAUGGUGAGACCUUGUGUCUACAAAAAGUUUAAAAAUUAGCCGGAUGCAGUGGCACGUACCUGUAGUCCCAGUUCCUUGGGAGGCUGAAGUGGGAGGAUUGCUUGAGCCCACGAGUUUGAGGUGGCAGUGAGCUAUGAUUGUACCACUGCACUCCAGUCUGGGUGAUAAGACCCAUUCUUUAAGAAAAAACAAUAAACAAAAAUUAAAAUAAAUCCCCAAGGCAAAUCAACUGUAGGAGGCCAUUAGACCACUCUUUGGGAAAUAGUGGCCUAGACCUAGGAAAAGGAGAGGCUGGGAGUUGAAAUUUUCCAGUGUUUCUCCAGCAUUGAUUGGCCUUCCCUGUCCAGCCACAUAGCAGGUCAUCGGCCUAGCUGGUACUGUAUGUCCUUGUAGUGAAAAAAGGCUGUAUCAGGCUUCCAAUGCUUAAUGAAAAUAGCCUUUCUUUUUUUUUUCUUUUUCUUUUUUUUGAGACAGAGUUUCACUCUUGUUGCCCACGCUGGAGUACAAUGGUGUGAUCUCGGCUCACUGCAACCUCUGCCUCCCAAGUUCAAAUGAUUCUCCUGCCUCAGCCUCCCUAGUAGCUGGGAUUACAGGCACCCGCCACCAUGCCCAGCUAAUUUUUUGUAUUUUUAGUAGAGACGGGGUUUCACUAUGUUGACCAGGCUGGUCUCGAACUCCUGACCUCAGAUGAUCCACCCACCUCAGCCUCCCAAAGUGCUGGGAUUACAGGCAUGAGCCACUGCGCCCGGCUGAAAAUAGCCUUUCGAAACGUCCAACUUGAUUUGUUCAGCUUCCAUAUAUAACAUUUAACCUUCUGAUUUUAAUAUGGUUUCUUAAAUAGAUUUUUCCUACCAGGAAGAGCAUGUGCUGACCAACAGACAUGAAUUUCAGCCUGGUAGUUACAACAUUCACAGGUAAUGAAUAAAUGGCAUUGUAUUUUAUUAAUCAGUCUAUUAUAACUCUGAUUAAUAUAAAUCAAUUCCUCAGAGCCAGCUCUCUUUUAAAUAAAUGGAGAACAAUGAGUUUUAUGAAUUUGCAAUCUUUGGGCCCAGCACACAUUUUGAGGCCUCAUUUAUGCUUUCCUUAGUAUACCCACAUCACUAAGCUGGGAGGCACAUUUUGAGACCCAGAAUCCUGACACCUCCAUGCCUUCAAAAGGGUAAGUUUAUCAAGUUUAAUAACAAUUCAUAAAACAUCACUCACCUGGGUCCUCCUCCUCUACCUGUGACUUUCAAACACCUGUGACCUCUGAGAUAUUGAGGGGCAUGGUGAUUCGUUUUUAAUAUCUUUGCCCUUUUGCUCUUUUCAAAUGACACUUGUGGCUGAGCGUAGUGGCUCACACCUGUAAUCCCAGCACUUUGGGAGGCCGAGGCAGGGAGGUAACAUGAGGCCAGGAGUUCAAAACUAGCCUGGCCAACAUGGCGAAACCCCAUCUCUACUAAAAAUACAAAAGUUAGCUGGGUGUGGUGGCACAUGCCUGCAAUCCAUGCUACUUGGGUGGCUAAGGCAGGAGAAUCACUUGAACCCAGAAGGCAGAGUUUGCAGUGAGCUGAGAUCACACCAUUACACUCCAUCCUGGGCGACAGAGUAAGACCCUGCCAGGAAAAAA
rnacentral:lncRNA from 10 species